UACAUGUUGAUGUAAAUGCAUAAGAGGUUUUGAUUCUCUCAGACUUGGUGGGAUUCCAUUACAUGUAA
rnacentral:tRNA from 1 species